GGACGCUGGAGGUCAGAUUUGUCUUGUGUCACUUGCUGGUUUCACGUGUCUUUCGGGCUCAUGCCCCUUUGGCCCCAUCCCUAUGCGACGGCAUAUGGAGACGGCCUGUGCCCUCUCAAUUCCACGACCAUAGCCUUUGUGACAAAGGUCCAUUGGCUAUAUUGUGCCAUUAUCGUUGGCCCUUGAUGACCCUCUGGGAUGCCUGAGUCUAUAUCUCAGCAGGCUGUCAGAAACACUGAAGCAGCAGUUGUGGACCACAACCUGCAGCGCUUUCCCUGCUACGGAUGUCAGCAGAGACUCUUAUCCUUGUGAUGUGGACCCCAGCCCAGCCAAUUAAGAUGGAUGGCCACAGAAGAACUUCCACUUGGAAGCUUAUGGCAAGGCCGGCCAUGCAGUGAGAAGCUGAGAUCCUGUCCAGACUGUGAAUAAGUGGAACAAUGGAGGACGGAUUGCCCCAUACUGCAAAGCCAAGAUUCAUUGUUCCCACCUCACCUCCAGAGAAACAGCAGAUGCCAUGGCUUCUCUACUCCUGAUUUGGCAUGCCAUUUCCCAUUCCCCCAAGCUCCCGGACCACCACUGCUGCAACCUGUCUCCUUGGCUCCCUC